CUUGGUCUUAAAUUCAAAUUGGGCCAAACAUUGGAGAAGCCCAAAUUUUUCCCAACCCAGUCCAAUUGGGUCGACCUGACCCAUGCCCCAAAACACACAAUACAAUAAAUAAAAACCCUAGACUACAUGAUACAAGGACAACCGCUACAGUAGAGGAGACCAGACGCUGCUUCAUCUUCUUGAGCCUUCAUCACCAUGAAAAACCAAACACUCUAGAACCUAGCAACCUCUAUCUCCAUGGAAGUCGGAUAACACCAGAAAAACGUCCCCUCCUCUCGUUGAAGCUCGUCAUCUUCAUUGAACCAAAUGAACGAACCCUAGGAGACGAACAGACACUAAAAAAUAGUAGCGUUGUUUUCUCUGAAACAACCUUCUUCUUCCUCGUCUCUCCUCCAUGUAUGACGAGUUUCAGAGCUGGUCGAAUGUUUAUUAAAUCCGAUGACCCUCCAUUAAAUUCGGCGAACGCUACUGCUAUCACGCCAUUCUCAUUUUCUCGUCUGUCUCUCGUUCCCUUUCACUGUUAUAUCGCCAGAAACGACGUGAUCAACAGCUUUGACUAUCUCUAAAAAAAAUUUCUGCUCGUACGUCCAUUUGGGUUGGCUCAUCUGGAUUCCAUCACUGGUGAGUUUUCAGUUUACAACUGGUGGAGUUGUAUCUGAGUUGAGGUAUUGUCGUUCGAGUUUCGUCUGCUCGGGCUGGAUUCAUCGAGGUUACGAUCAGUAAUUCAUUUGUUUUGAUUUGCUUCUUGAGAUUUUGCUUUACUGUUCAUGGUGAAAAACCGCAGCAAUAAAGUUCAUUUACUUUUCCGAUAUUGUUCUUCUCGCUAAUGUUUUGGAUCGUUUCUUAUUCUAUUUAGUUUGUAUGAUUUGGAAGAUUUUUGUGAAUAUGUGAUUUCACAAUUAAUGGUGGCCUUGUAGUGUCGAAAUUAGCUAAUAAAAUAACUAAUCUUUCAGAUGCUCGCCAAUUAGUUAUGAUUCCGUUGUUUAUGUAAUUGUUUCUUCGUAGUCUCGAAUUUGCUCGCUUAGUUAUUUGCUCGUAUAUUUAUUUGAAUUGGUUAUAGCUUGUAAUUGUUUCUUCGUAGUCUUGAAUUUGCUCGCUUAGUUAUUUGCUCGUAUAUUUAUUUGAAUUGGUUAUAGCUGAAUCAUGAUUUUGCACGGUGUAGAAUUAGGUUGCUAUUCUUUAACUGAACUACAUAAUUAGAUUAAAGGAAUUUGGGUUUUGAGUUAGGUAGAGGGUUUUAAACUAAAAGGUUCAUCCUUUUGUUUGGACCCGGACAUGAACUUAAGGCCCAUAUUUUAAAUAAUUAAUUAGGAUCUUUCUUUCGUUAUUAGAGACAAAAAAUCAACACGAUAGAAAAUAUAGUUAUCUUUUAGGUUUAUCCUUUUAAAAUAAAAUGAGACGAGCCUCGCGCAACAAAAAUACAAAUUGUGGGGCCAUCAAUAAAGGUUUAAAAAUAUUUAAAAAAUCAGGAAGGGCCUUUUAGCGAAUUUCACGGCCCUCACACAAGAUAAUAACGCGCUAUACUCUAUUAGGCAUGGCUUUAAUAAAUUACAUUCCUAAACACGUGGCAUUUUAUGCGGCCCAAAUCCAAAUCCUAAAACGUUGAAUAGAGUGUGUCUAGGAUUGCGGGUUCAUUUGAUGCGGUGAAAUCCGAAAACAAAUUUUAAACGACGUUCACUUUCUUAAAGAAAUAUCUUAUUAAAUAAAAGCGAUAAAAAGUAAAAAUUGGCACAUAGGCUCUUCAUGUAAUAAAAUCAUAUAAAAGCUAAAUGCAACAGUUGAGCGACCGUACUAGAACCACAGAGCCAGGGAAUGCCUAACACCUACUCCCGGGUUAAUAUAAUUCCUUAUCCGGAUUUCUGGCUCGCAGACUGUGAACAGAGUCAUCUUUUUCCUCGGUUCGGGAUUCAACCGGUCACUUGGGACACCAUUAAUCUCCCAAGGGCGAAUCUGAAUAAAUAAUAAAUAAAUCAUAUUCCGAUUGUCCUUUUAGUGGAAAAACUCCUUUACUGCCCUUUGCUGGAGUAUAUAGCGAAAAAGGAGGUGUGACACCGCGUACUUCAUUCCGGUAUGUACUACCUAUUCGUCGGAGAAGUUAGCCGAGAUUUUCAUCCGGGAGAUUGUACGGUUGCAUGGGGUCCCGGUUUCCAUUGUCUUAGAUAGGGGUACUUAGUUUACUUCCCAAUUCUGGAGGACUUUUCAUCAGGAGUUGGGCACACAGGUACAAUUGAGCACAACAUUUCAUCCUCAGACGACGGAGAGUCCGAGCGUACUAUCUAGAUAUUUGAGGACAUGUUGUGUGCCUGUGUUAUUGAUUUUGGAGGUUCUUGGGCUGAGUUCUUGCCACUUGCGGAGUUUGUCUAUUGUAACAACUAUUAAUCCAGCACUCAGAUGGCACCGUAUGAGGCCUUAUAUAGGAGACAGUGUGGGUCUCCGGUGGGUUGUUUUGAGCCCGUCGAGGCUAGAUUACUGGGACAGAGUUAGUUCAGGAUGCCUUUGAUAAGGUGAAAUUGAACCAGGAGAGACUUCGUACAACUCAAUCACGUCAGAAGAGUUAUGCAGACCGGAAGGUUCGAGAUGUAUCUUAUGCGGUGGGCGAGAAGGUCUUGUUGAAGGUUUCGCCUAUGAAGGGCGUUAUGAGGUUUGGAAAGAAAGGGAAGCUCCGUCCAAGGUUCAUUGGACCUUUCGAGAUACUUAGGAGGAUUGGGGAGGUGGCCUAUAUGCUUGCUUUGCCGCUUAGCUUGUCGGGAGGGCACACAUUGUUCCAUAUUUCCAUGCUCCGGAAAUAUGUUGGGGACCCGUCUCAUGUAUUAGACUUCAGCACGAUCCAGUUGGAUGAGGAUUUGACCUACGAUGUGGAGCCAGUGUCUAUUUUGGGUCAUCAGGUUUGAAAGUUGAGAUUAAAUUACAUAGCUCCGGGGAAGCUACAGUGGAGAGGUCGGCCCGUAGCAUAAGCCACUUGGGAGACCGAGCAGGAGAUGCGGAGAAGAUACCCUCACUUGUUUGAUACUCCAGGUAUGUUUCUUGGCAGGCUCGGGGACGGGCGCUUGUUUAAGUAGGGGAGGAUGUAACGACCCGACCCGUCGUCACGUGAGUUACCGUCCCGUUUUCCCCGUUUUAUGCUUCUAUGUAUUUCAUUACAUGUGUUUGGAGAAUUUGAAGUAAUUCGGAUAGAGUUUGGUUAGAAAUGAUACAAUUAGUCUCUUUAUGAGAAUGUUAGUUUGAAAAGUCAACCAAAUGUUGACUUAUCAGUUAGAGGGCUCGGAAUGGAUUUUUGACGAUUCGACUAGUUUCGGGUGGUGAUUUAUGACUUAGGAGCGCAAUAGGAAUUGAAUUUGGAGGUCCGGUAUGGAAUUAGACUUGAAUUGGCUAAGUUUGAAUUUUGGCGAAUCCCGAUUUAUAGGUGAGAUUUUGAUCCGGGGGUCGGAUGAAAUUCCGACGGUUGCAGCAUCUCCAUUAGGUGAUUUUGGAUAUGCAAAGUUUCAGGUCAUUCGGAGGCCUUUAAGUUGGGUUUUUAUCAAAUGCAAGUUUCGGAAGUUUUAGUUUGACUUAGGCUUGAAUCCGUGCUAAUUUGAUGAUUUUGAUGUUUAUGAUAGUAUUUUUAUGCUAUGAACAAGUUUGAAUGAAGUAAUAGGACGUAUCUGUGCUUUUGGUAGAGGUCCCGAGGGCCUCGGGGUGGUUUCGGAUGGCUAACGGGAAUUUGGAACAUGAAAAGUGCAGCAGAACAUUUGUAGAGAAAUUUAACUCUAUGUGAUUGCGUAAGUCUGGCUGCGAUCGAUUAGAAGACCUGGAGGAGUCUCAGAAAUUGCUCUAUGCGUUCGUGUAAGGGGGCUUGCGAUCGCAUAAGUAUGGGGGAUGGUUCAGUGCGAUCGCGUGGGUGUGUAUGAGAAUGCGUAGUAGGAGGAAGUAAAGCUCUACGAUCACAGGGGGUCUUAUGCGAUCGCAUAAGAGGAAUUUGAGGGCCUGGAUUUUUGGCCUAUGAGAUCGCAAAGGUAGUGAUGCGAUCGCAUAGGGGUCGCUACAGUGGUCUGACAAAAUGUUUUAAAACCCUUUGGUCCACGACCCACAUCAUUUUUCCUCCAUUUUUAAUCCACCAAGAGAGCUUUUUGAGCGAUUUGCAGAGAGUUUUCAACGGGUACUGAUUGGAGGUAAGUCUCUUGACUUAGAAACACCAUUUUCAUGAAGAAUCAACCCUCAAAUCCAUGAAAAUAGGUUGAAACUGUGAAGAACUAGGGCUUGGUUUUUGAAAAUGAAUUUUUAGGAUUUGAAAGGCCAUUUGAACUCCGUUUUUGGUAAACUUGAUACGUACGGACUCGUGGCAAGACGAGGAAUCCGUUGAUGUGAUUUUCAAAAUUUUUUGAGGAGUGGGCCCGGGGCUCGGGUUUUCAACUUCGUGAUUUUUAGUGUUUUUUGAAUAAUUUCGAUUGGGUUAUGUUUCUUUAACAUAUAAUAACGUAGUCGUUGUGGUUUUGACCAGAUUCGAUGCGCGAAGAGGUCGAUUCGAGAGGCAAGGGUGUUGCUAGCUAGUUUUCGGCUGGCUAAAGGUGAGUAAUUGAUGUAGCUGCUGUGCUGAGGGUUUGAAACACCAGACUUUCACAUCGUAAUGCUAUAUUUAGGCGUGACGCGCAUUCCACAAUAAGUACGGGGUCGAAUACAGUUGGGGAUUGAGACUUAGUCCAUCCUGAGUGAUUAUUGCUAUUAUAUUGGCGACUGAAACGCAUACCUUUUAAUUGUGAAUUGGGCUUAUUACCGUGUUUGGGGCCUUGUGCCGACCUGUAGAAUCCUUAGGGGAUAUUUAUAUGUUUUUCUCACUUGUGUGCAUCACAUAAAUUCUCAGUCACGUUUUCAAAUAUUAAAACAAUAUAAUAUUGUGUUUUAUAUAUGAACUUAAAAUGAAAAAAGAUAUGAGGGCUGAAAUCCCUAUAGUAUGUCCCGUCCGAUUGAUGGUGGACUUGUUUGACUGAGAUGGGUCGGGGACCCUGUAGUGAGGGUGUUUUCCUGAUAUGGAUUGGGCUACACGUCGUAGCAAUUAUAUAUAUUCAUAUUGAGGCUGAGAGCCUGUUUUAUGCCAAUACCUGGCUAAUAUUGCGCUUGGGCUAUAGGAGCCCCUCCGAAGUCUGUACACACCCCCAGUGAAAUGAUUUCUUGAUAUGGAUCGGGCUACAUUGAUUACCCUGUAGUGGCUGAUAUUGCGCUUGGGCUGUAGGAGCCCCUACGGAGUUUGUACAUACCCCAGUGGGCACCGUCGAUGUUAAAUAAAUGGACGGGCUGCACGCUGCAGCUGGUACUGGAUUGUACCGUUAUAUGUAUUGUUUUCUGCCAUGCCUUGUGUUUUAAACGUAUUAAUUUGUUGUGUACUAUUUCCACUAUUAGGAUAUGAACUGCUAAAUAUAGAGUACUUUGUGCAUUUACUGUAUUUUCUUACCUUCAGCCUUUAGUUAUGUCUAUUACCACUGAGAUGGAAGUACUCACUUUACUCCCUGCACCUUGUGUGCAGAUCCAAGGCAGUCUCAGGCUGAGUGUUCCAGCAGAUCCAAAGUUCUUUCGGGAAUAUUUGAGGUAGCUGUAGGGCGUUCGCAGCCCAUGAUUCUCCCCUCUAUCUUUAUCCUUUAUUUCUGCAGUAUCACUGUUAGACAGACUUUGUAUUAGGAUAUUGUUCUGUCAUUAGAGGCUCAUGGUCAUGACAACAAGUCCUAGUUGGGCUGUUUCGGUAUUUUGUUAGAUUUUUCCUUAUUUUAUCAGCAUUUCAGACUUUGACUUAAAUAGCUUUAUCUGUACUUUAUAAAAUAAUCAGAGUAAUUGUUAUAAAUGGCCAGGCUUUCCUAAUAGAGUGAUGGGCGUCAUCACGGCCGGGUUGGGGUCGUGACAAAUCCAGAAUGACUAAUGAUUUUUUAAUUCACAAGUCACUUCAGUAGUUUUUAACUUUUAAAUAUUAAAUCCAGGAUAGUACUGAUUUUUGAACUUUUACUAAUGCAAAAUUCAAGAAAAUCCAGGAAUGAUUCAUGUAUUUUUGAUUCACAGUAUACUUCAAUAACUGAGAGCUACUAGUUCAUGUCACUCAAACUCCAGGAAUAAUGCCUGGAUUUUGAACUUAUAAAUAUUCAUAGUCUAGUAGUCGUCCUGGAUUUCUUCCGUGUUUUAAGAUUGGAGUAUUCUAUGUCCAAAAAUAUAUUUCCGCAUCAAUAAGUGGUUAUUUUUUUGAUACAAUUUUAAAAUAUUUCUAAACUCUAAUACAACAACAACAACCCAGUAUAAUCCCACUUAGUAGGGUCUGGGGAGGGUAGUGUGUACGNNNNNNNNNNNNNNNNNNNNNNNNNNNNNNNNNNNNNNNNNNNNNNNNNNNNNNNNNNNNNNNNNNNNNNNNNNNNNNNNNNNNNNNNNNNNNGGGUAGAGAGGCUGUUUCCAAAUAGAUCCCCGGCAUCCUUCCCUCCAAGAACUUCCCACCUUGCUCUUGGGUAGACUCGAAUUCACAACCUCUCGGUUGGAAGUGGGGGUUGCUUACCAUCACAGCAACCCCUCUAACAAUUCGGCCUAAAAAAAUAAUUAUUUAAAAAGAAUUCACUAUUUUUGACUGUGCGUUGUCUGUUCGCACAAUGCUAAUUAGAAUAUUGGUCUAAAUUGUCUCUAUUAUUAGAUGUGACAUUUAUGCGGUAUAAUACACAUUAAUUAUAUUAAGAAGAAAUUACACUAUAUGUCACUUGGGCCAUACAGUCCAGCCAAAAAUAGCCCAUAUUUGAGGCCUUUACUUGCCAUAGCCCAUGUUGGCUAACUUAUGAAAUUAUAUAUUCACCCGCUAGCUCACACCUUAACAUAACCGUUUUAAUAAUUUAAGUAUUAAUUUCUCUGUUGCUUUCAUACCUUAACAUAACCAUUUUAAUAAUUUAAAUUUUAAUUUCUCUGGUUCUUUCUUCCUCACGCUUUUGUCACUCUCUCUUUCUCUCGAUUUUUCAGUCCAUAACGACUCCAUUGUUGUGUUCAAGUUGCUUUUCGAGGUUUCUAUCUUAGGUUGAG
rnacentral:lncRNA from 1 species